CACCGCGUCAACUCUUGGCAGCUGUCAGAGCACCCCUCCCCCUCUUCCAGGCAACUUCUUCCAACAGCCCCCUCUGAUGGACCCCAACUCUCCUCUCUCACGCCUCGCCCAUACAGCGAGGCACAAAGAAAUCUCAGUCUCUCCAUAAACUUUGUGCUUCCAGUUAUGCCGCCCCCUCCCCUAGCCUACACCCCCACCCUGCCAGCUUCUUGGCAGGAAGGUUAGGCCACUGGCAAAAUCCUCAGCGAGAGCCAGCUGAUCACAAAUGCCAACUGUGUGUCUUGGGGCCAGUUAAGUCCUCUCAUCUGCCCCAGCUCUCAGGAGACCAUUUCAUUGCUCUCAAGGUUCCCAGGAGACCGCUGCGGACACGGACCAUCCUCUACUUGGCCCGCAAGGAUGGGUUGCUGAGCGGAAUCCCAAAAGCGCUCUUUCUCACCUCGAAUUUUCAUUUUUAGAUUGUAAAAAAUCCGAAUUUGGAGACAGGCAGAUAUUUUUCACACAUCAAAAAGCAGGACCAUCAGCUAGGUGAUUAGCCCCAGGUGGGAAAUGAGCCAUCUCUAAUGAGAAUACUGACUUUUUGAAGAAGUCUGUGGAAGUUCUGAAGUCCUACCCCAGCCCCAUGACCUUUCGUUCGUUUAGUUCUUCUGCCACAGGGAAGCAGCCAGCGACUAAUGAAAGAUUUGAUCUUGCAAUAAUUUCCCAAGCAGAAUAUCAAUAAGUUCCAAUUGAAGAGCGGAUUCUUUUGCAAUUCAGGCAUGUGCCGGCGAUAACGGGCGAGUUGGCAUGAAGAGAGGCAGAGAUGGAUUAAUUAUGCAGAGAACAUGGAAAUUCUGCUUAUCAUCGGCUAGCAAAGGAGCCCGGCUCACAUAAUCAGCAAACGAAGGGAGAGGAAAAAAUAACAAUGCAAUGGCACCUUCCAGCCCAUCAUCAGGAUUUUUUCUACCCCCCCCUUGUAAUUAAAAAAUAACAUACACUUAUAGCCCUAUCUCCUGUGCAGGCAAGGAGUGGAUGUCCACAAAAUAAUUGCACUGGGAUAUUAGAGCUGGCAACAUGGGCUGUCCAUUCCUGCUUGCUCUUCCCUCUCACCCUCUCUUUCUCUUUUGGCCUCUCAAGGCACUUCGCUUCUGAACCCAGUCCAAAUCAGACGGAUGUCUCAGGUGACAUUCUAGCUCACUUUCCAAAAAUCCCAAACUGGUACCUUAUCAUGAUCCAAGCAAACAUACAUACAUAUGUGAUAAAUAUUUGAAGGGCUGACUCAAGGGGGAGGUUUUGGAACUGAUCACCUGUGGCCUCUCUGGUCAAUUUCAUUUUUUGAUGAAACCUGUCCAAAUAGCCUUCAUUUUGCAGAGUGACUAGAUUAAAAUGGUGGACCGCGCGAUGGCUGUGGUAAUCUUCUCAAACGGUUUAACUUAUUUACAACUUUUUGUUUCUAUUCCCUUUGCCAAUUCAUUUUAUAAAUUCAAGUACAUGUAGUUAAUGAUUGCAAUGUGUGUGCCUCCAAAUCAGAAUUCACAAUUCCAUACUGUCACUGUAAAAUCUGACAGCUUAAUGCAUUGUAUUUCUCUAAAUGCCAAAAGAG
rnacentral:lncRNA from 1 species